CUUUUAUUGAGAAACAGAGCAGAGAUCACAUAGAUGGAAAGUAAUCGCACCCCACGGUCCCGCUGCAGUCUGUGUCUUCCCUGUCUCUGUCCUGUCUCGCUUUUGGCUCUCCCUAAUACUGCACAGUGGCCUUGGCAUGAGACAAAACAAAGACAGUCUAUCCUAGACAAUAAUCAUCCCACACAGCAUCUAUGCAGCAUUUGGCCUUGCACUCAGCAAACAGUGGAUCUCAUACACAGACUUCAUGUCUCCUGGCCUCCUAUGUCUGAGUGGCUUGAGGCCAUAGUGACUUCAGAAUGAUAUUUUUAUAUCAUUAAGCCAUUUUUAUCAUUUAAGGAACAAAGCAAAGGUAAAACCUAUUCUUUCAAGGCAAACAUAUAGAAAAACUACUCCAAACCUUCAUUUCAUCAUGGCUGGAUUACUGUAAUCCAGCCAUGAUGUGAAUCGGUCAGUCCUCACUCAAAUGUCUGCAGCGGGUUCAAAUGCUGCUGCACACCUUUUAAUGGAAAAAACAUAAAAGACAGCUCAUUACCCCAUCCUGGCCUCCCUGCCUGUUUAUCUUAGAGUUCGGUUUAAAGAACUUCUGUUUUUGAGGUUUUAAACAGAGUGGUCCACCUUACUUAAAUGAGCUUCUCCUUCACCUUUACACCCCUACUUGCUCAUUCACGUCAGCUGACCAACUGCUUAUGGUUAUUCACAGUUCUGAGCAGAAGCUUAGAGGGAACAAGGCCUUCUCUGUCCACCUUAUUUUUGACGGAAAUACGGAGCCAGCGAGUUGAGGUUUUUUUUUGCGCGAGACUUCCCUCCGCUCACUUCCUGUCACUGGGUAGCUAGCUGAAAAGCAACUCAUGCAGCUACUUCGUCUCAAAUUAAUCAUCAUUAGGACUUUGAGGAAGACCGGGCUCAUUUGUCCGGUUAGAGGCUGUCAUAAUAACGGGUGUAAAUGAAAGGUUUACGUGGAUCAGGAGAGUUUUAAUCAUCGACCGUAAACAAGAGCUGCGGAUGCGGGGCACCCUACUUCCUUCACCCCAGCCGAAGAAUGAGUAAUCCCUUCGCCUGUGGUUAAAAGCUUUAAAUCUGAAGAAACCACCGAAGCGACCAUAUGUUUGUUCUUUUCAUUUUGUGGACAAAAGACCGACAGAAGACCACAUGAUGCCAGAAAAGUGUCUGGACUACGAAGUUCCAUUAAAAACAAAAACAAGGAGACAAAGAGGAGAGGAGACAGGCUUGUGUUUGACAGAUGACAGCCACUGUGAUGCAGAGGCUGACCAGAUCGCCCCAUAAUCAGUCACCUAUGAAUAAAGAUGCUGAUACUACAGGCAUUGAUGAUCACACCUAGUAGAAAAGGAGAAGAAGAAGAAGAAUGGAUGUGGCUGGGAAAACACCUGGAGUAUCUUCGUCCUGGCGAUGAAGUAACAGCAGACAGAGGCUUUACCAUUGGAGAUCUGCUGUUUGAGAGGAGAUUUAACCUUGUUCUACCAGCAUUCACUCAUGAAGGAGAGCAGUCCUCUGAUUAGGAUGUACUUGCCACAAAGAGGAUUGCAAAUGUCCACAUACAUGUGGAGAGAGGCUCAAAGAUUUCACAGUAAUCUCCCAGACUGUAACCAUGAAGUUGGUUUAUAAAAUAGACCAAAUCUUUAGAAUCUGUGCAGCUCCUGUGACCAUGCAGGAGAAAUCAUACACGAGGAAGCAGAGAAGUUUACAUGUCAAAAAGAUCCCGAUUAGUUAAAUUUUACUGUAAACCAGAGGAAAUAUAAUACACAAGAAUGUGUUUUGGAUUUCUCCUUUUAAAUAUUGUUUAUUUAGCACCUAGAGGUUUUACAUUUUGGAGUUUUCAUUUUUAAUAACUUUAAGUAUUGUAUAUCCUUAUUUCCAGACUAUUUAAAUGUUUACUUAAACAAAAAUUGUGCCCAA